CCUACGGGGUGCAGCAGUAGGGAAUAUUGCUCAAUGGGGGAAACCCUGAAGCAGCAACGCCGCGUGGAGGAUGAAGGUUUUCGGAUUGUAAACUCCUUUUGUUAGAGAAGAUAAUGACGGUAUCUAACGAAUAAGCACCGGCUAACUCCGUGCCAGCAGCCGCGGUAAUACGGAGGGUGCAAGCGUUACUCGGAAUCACUGGGCGUAAAGGGCGCGUAGGCGGGAUAGCAAGUCAGAUGUGAAAUCCUAUGGCUUAACCAUAGAACUGAAUUUGAAACUGUUAUUCUAGAGUAUGGGAGAGGUAGGUGGAAUUCUUGGGGUAGGGGUAAAAUCCGUAGAGAUCAAGAGGAAUACUCAUUGCGAAGGCGACCUGCUAGAACAUAACUGACGCUGAUGCGCGAAAGCGUGGGGAGCAAACAGGAUUAGAUACCCCGGUAGUC
rnacentral:rRNA from 1 species